UUUUCCACGCACGACCCGGCCGCACCGUUCUCCACCUCCGGCCAAAACUUAGGGUUCCAUCGACCCAUUUCCGGCCCAGAACGACCCAACUCCGUCGUUGUUCCAGUUCCGGCGGCGACCAUUCGACCAUUCGUUCUCCACCGUCGUUCUCCACCUCCGGCCAAAACUUAGGGUUCCGGCGACCCAUUUCCGGCCCAGAACGACCCGCCACCGCCGUUCUCAACGCACGACCCGGCACCAUCGUUCUCAACGCACGACCCAACUCCGUCGUUCUUCCAGUUCCAGCGGCGACCAGCUAAACCAUUCGUUCUCCACCUCCGGCGACCCAUUUCCGGCUCUGGCACAAGUAAAUGUCUACAACAAGUGAUUUGUCAAGCGGUCAUCCGUUAUGUAAGUGUGGAAUUCCUGCACGUCUAAGGUACUCUUGGACCACAUCCAAUCCCGCUAAAAAGUGGUAUGGAUGUAAUAACUACAAGAAAGCCGGUGAUUGUGAUUUUUUUGAAUGGGCUGAUAAGAAGAUGUCUGCAUACGAGAAGGGAUUAGCGCAAUAUCUGAAAGAGAUGGAGGAGAGAAGACAAGCUGACAAUGACAAAGUUGAGGAAUUAAUUGAAAAAAAAUGCAAGGAACAAUUAGUGCAACAUUUGAAAGAAAUGGAGGAGAAAGUUGAGGAAUUGAUUGAAAAAAAAUGUAAGGAACAAUUAGCGCAACGUAACGAGAAGAUGUUUCGUGUUUUGUUGUUAGUUGUCAUUUUGCUGUUAGCCUUUUAUUUUUGUAGUUAUAGUGAACCUAGACAUACUAACUUGAUGUUAAAAUGAAAUUAUGAAAACAAUUUAGUUGUAAGAGACUUUUUUCUGUUUGUAUGAAUAUCCUAAAUGUAUGUUAAACUUAAUUGUUAAUGGUAAUGAAUGGUUGGUU